rnacentral:hammerhead_ribozyme from 1 species
AGCAGUGGAUGAGUCCCAAAUAGGACGAAACGCGCGUUCUGGAU